rnacentral:rRNA from 1 species
AGACGUCUACAUUAGAUACCCGCGUAGUCCCAGCCGUAAACUAUGCGCGUUAGGUGUAUCGGUGACUACGAGUCACCGAGGUGCCGAAGGGAAACCGUGAAACGUGCCGCCUGGGAAGUACGGUCGCAAGGCUGAAACUUAAAGGAAUUGGCGGGGAGCACCACAACGGGUGGAGCCUGCGGUUUAAUUGGACUCAACGCCGGGAAGCUCACCGGAUAAGACAGCGGAAUGAUUGCCGGGCUGAAGACUCUGCAUGACUAGCUG